UACAACUUUCAGCAACGGAUCUCUUGGCUCUCCCAUCGAUGAAGAACGCAGCGAAAUGCGAUAAGUAAUGUGAAUUGCAGAAUUCAGUGAAUCAUCGAAUCUUUGAACGCACCUUGCGCCCUUUGGUAUUCCGAAGGGCAUGCCUGUUUGAGUGUCAUUAAAU
rnacentral:rRNA from 1 species